rnacentral:rRNA from 1 species
GAUGAACGCUGGCGGCGUGCCUAAUACAUGCAAGUCGAGCGAACAGACGAGGAGCUUGCUCCUCUGACGUUAGCGGCGGACGGGUGAGUAACACGUGGAUAACCUACCUAUAAGACUGGGAUAACUUCGGGAAACCGGAGCUUAUACCGUAUAAUAUAUUGAACCGCAUGGUUCAAUAGUGAAAGACGGUUUUGCUGUCACUUAUAGAUGGUUCCGCGCCGCAUUAGCUAGUUGGUAAGGUAACGGCUUACCAAGGCAACGAUGCGUAGCCGACCUGAGAGGGUGAUCGGCGACACUGGAACUGAGACACGGUCCAGACUCCUACGGGAGGCCGCAGUAGGGAAUCUUACGCAAUAGGCGAAAGCUUGGCGGAGCAACGCCGCGUGAGUGAUGAAGGUCUUCGGAUCGUAAAACUCUGUUAUUAGGGAAGAACAAAUGUGUAAGUAACUAUGCACGUCUUGACGGUACCUAAUCAGAAAGCCACGGCUAACUACGUG